CCCCCCCAGCACAGGCCAAGGCGCUCCUGGAGGGAACCCAAGAUGAUCUGCGGGAGAUUGAUUUAGACAAUGUCGUGAACCUGGAGACGCCUCUGCCCCCAGUUGUUGAAAAGCUGGAGGCUGUUCUGCGGCAGAAGCGCCUGGCUGCCUCUCUGGGUGCCUAGGAUUGCAAGUUAUGGGGACACCGGGUGUCCUGAUCCCCUCUGGCGGCAUGAGGAGAUGAUCAUCCCUGGAGGAUCCCCCUGAACCCUUUGAGCCCUGGGCUAUUUCCCCUGAAUAAUCAAUAAACCCUUUGAGCAAAGCUUU